GAAGGUAUAGCUCAACUGGUAGAGUGCAUGCUUAGCAUGCAUGAAGUCUGGGGUUCAAUCCCCAGUACUCCCU
rnacentral:tRNA from 1 species